rnacentral:rRNA from 1 species
UGAGGAAUAUUGGACAAUGGGCGCAAGCCUGAUCCAGCCAUGCCGCGUGCAGGAAGAAGCAUCUAUGGUGUGUAAACUGCUUUUGUACGGGAAGAAACACUCCUACGUGUAGGAGCUUGACGGUACCGUAAGAAUAAGGAUCGGCUAACUCCGUGCCAGCAGCCUCGGUAAUACGGAGGAUCCAAGCGUUAUCCGGAAUCAUUGGGUUUAAAGGGUGCGUAGGCGGUUUAGUAAGUCAGUGGUGAAAGCCCAUCGCUCAACGAUGGAACGGCCAUUGAUACUGCUAGACUUGAAUUAUUAGGAAGUAACUAGAAUAUGUAGUGUAGCGGUGAAAUGCUUAGAUAUUACAUGGAAUACCGAUUGCGAAGGCAGGUUACUACCAAUGGAUUGACGCUGAUGGACGAAAGCGUGGGUAGCGAACA